CCUACGGGGGGCAGCAGUGAGGAAUAUUGGUCAAUGGACGAGAGUCUGAACCAGCCAAGUAGCGUGAAGGAUGACUGCCCUAUGGGUUGUAAACUUCUUUUAUAUGGGAAUAAAAUGUUCCACGUGUGGGAUUUUGUAUGUACCAUAUGAAUAAGGAUCGGCUAACUCCGUGCCAGCAGCCGCGGUAAUACGGAGGAUGCGAGCGUUAUCCGGAUUUAUUGGGUUUAAAGGGUGCGUAGGUUGUUUUUUAAGUCAGCGGUGAAAGUUUGUGGCUCAACCAUAAAAUUGCAAUUGAUACUGGCAGCCUUGAGUAUAGUUGAGGUAGGCGGAAUUCGUGGUGUAGCGGUGAAAUGCUUAGAUAUCACGAAGAACUCCGAUUGCGAAGGCAGCCUACUAAACUGCCACUGACAUUGAUGCUCGAAAGUGUGGGUAUCAAACAGGAUUAGAUACCCGAGUAGUC
rnacentral:rRNA from 1 species